rnacentral:rRNA from 1 species
UACGUAGGGUCCGAGCGUUGUCCGGAAUUAUUGGGCGUAAAGGGCUCGUAGGCGGUUUGUCGCGUCGGGAGUGAAAUCUUACAGCUUAACUGUGAACUUGCUUCCGAUACGGGCAGACUUGAGGCAUUCAGGGGAGAACGGAAUUCCUGGUGUAGCGGUGAAAUGCGCAGAUAUCAGGAAGAACACCCGUGGCGAAGGCGGCUCUCUGGUACGUGACUGACGCUGAGACGCGAAAGCGUGGGGAGCGAACAGG